rnacentral:rRNA from 1 species
GUGUCAGCAGCCGCGGUAAUACGUAGGGUGCGAGCGUUAAUCGGAAUUACUGGGCGUAAAGCGUGCGCAGGCGGAUAUUUAAGUCAGACGUGAAAUCCCCGGGCUUAACCUGGGAAUUGCGUUUGAAACUGGAUGUCUAGAGUGCGUCAGAGGGGGGUGGAAUUCCACGUGUAGCAGUGAAAUGCGUAGAGAUGUGGAGGAACACCGAUGGCGAAGGCAGCCCCCUGGGAUGACACUGACGCUCAUGCACGAAAGCGUGGGGAGCAAACAGGAUUAGAUACCCUUGUAGUCC